rnacentral:lncRNA from 1 species
UCAGAUAGAUCUCAUUCCCCUCGCCACCCCUCCGAUCUCCGCUCCCCCGGAUAACACACCCAUCCUAUGACCAUUGACCCCCCACGGCCAUUGAACUCCUUCCCAUUGUUCAUUUCGUGAAGAGGGGGAAGGAGAGACAGAGUGCGCGCGCGCGCGCAGAAGUAGAAGAGAAUGGGCUCCACAGCCGCGGCCACCUCCCCGUUCUUGGGCACCC